rnacentral:lncRNA from 1 species
GGGCGGGUCAUUGUGACAGACCUCAAAGCCAAGGAACGGGUGAUGAAAUUGAUGAACCAUGAGAAUACUGAGGUUACCAAGAACGCCUUACUCUGCAUCCAAAGGCUUUUCCUAGGCGCAAAGUACGCGAGCUUUUUGCAGGCCUGAAUUCUCUUUCCAUGGGGUCCAGUAUUGUUUACAAAGGAAAUGCUUGUAAUGAUUUGAUUCCAGUUUGGCUGUGGUUAGGUUGUUUAUUUAUUUAUCAAUCAUUGGAGGAAUUUAUGAAUCAGGGGAACUCGUCUGUUGGAUUUUUUUAAGUGCUGUGAAGAAGAAGUUGAUUUUUUACCAUGUUUUGGAAAUUUAUUUUGUUUUUGAGAUGAGGAAUAAUUUGAUACCAUCUGUACUGACCUUUGAUAUGAAAACUACUCGAGUGCAUGAUAUAUAUCUAUUUUUGUUCAUUUCUGUAUCUUGCUGCUGACUGAAGCUGGAUUUUCAGGCUCGUUAUUAUCAUCUAUUCUUUUGAAGUUGCAAAAUGAAUUCUCAAUAUUUUCAGGGGAAAUGCUUAUAAUUAGCGCGGAAUUAAACAUUGAUUGUGUACUGUAUACUUCCAAAAGGCAGUUUAUUUCCAUUGAUUUGAGUAAACUAAAUCUCCGUGAUGGUAGCACUGAUUUAAUCACUUAUUAAAGAAUUCUUUGAAAAUUUGAUGAUUGUUGUUGAAAACAUUUACUAAUUGUAAAUGCGUUAAAAAUUAUUUGAUUCAUUUAGUAUCAUUAAUAGUGAUUUAAAUUUUCAUCUUGAUUAAAAAAAAUUAAUAAUUUUUUUUUUAAUUUUCAGAAACAAAAUAGGUAAAUCUUGAUUGAACGAUGAAUUUUGUAUUAAUCCGGAAAAGUGUUAUUCCAACCACGCGUCGCUUAAAGGUUCGUGUAAUUUGAGACGACUUGUCGUCUAUGUUUUAGACCGGACCGGUUCACGCAAACAUUAAAGCUUUCGAGUACUCGCGGAGCGGCGAUCGCAAAUCCCUCAAAAGAAUGCACACAAGGAAUGGAGACUGAGAAAGUGUGCAAGAGGUGUAAGCAAACGUACGCAGCUUCAUCAAACAGCUCUUCUUCUUGCCGCUUUCACCCUUGCUUCUUCGUUUGCCGUCGUCACGACGACCAGAAAAGGUACCCACCCCACUCCCUCUUUUGAUCAUCAUUCCGCUUACACUUUUCUUCGAUUUUAUUAUUAUUUUUAUUUCAUUUACUCUUUUGAUUCUUUUGCAUUCUUUAUUGGAUGUUAUCAAUUAUUAUAAAAAAAAUUCUAAAAAAUAAAUAAAAUUCACGGCAGCUAGGAGUUGAAUGAAACUCUGAGUCCAGUCCAGUUUGGUAGGAUUCUUUGAUUUAAAAAGCAUCAAGUAAUCGGAUUUUCUGGGCAUCCAUUUUAUUUUGUUAUUUUUCCAUGUAUCAAUUUUCAUUUAAUUUGGGUUUGUUUAUUUUUGGAUCACUUAGAAAUCCUAAUGUACAACGGCAAUAAUUAGAUGCCGUUAAAUAAUUAUUCCAUUUGCCAGCUGGUUAAUUGUUUCAGGAGUUCAUGCUGAGACUUGUUUUACCACGCCAUCCGUACAAUAAUCUAAUGAAGUCCGGCCAUGUAUAUAUCUAUUUUUGAAAACUGCCGUACAAGUUGAUAAUUACAUUUAAUACAUGCAUCCAUAAUGUCUUUGUUUGGCUGCACAAUAAUUGGAGUACUAUUGCUGUUAUACAGAGGUGAUAAACUGCUAAUCUCAAAACGUCAUUUGCCACAAGCACCGCAACUACUGAUGGCAUAUCAUGUAGUACUUACAAAUCAACUGAUUUUGUAUUAAUCUUCUGUUUUUCUUAUAGUAUGAGAUACCGUAGGUGGUAGUAUUGUUUGCAUAUUGAAGAAAGCUCAUUUAUGGUAGGAUUUGUAAUUGUUUUGUGUGGCAAAAGCAGCUCUUUGUCUGCCUUCAAAUAUCUGGUUUGAAGGGUACAGAAUUUUAAGAAGUGGAACUGUUGAUAACAAAGCUAAAAUCUGAAAGUUUCUCAUUCUUGUUUCCUGGAUUUUUCAGUUCAUACAAAAUCUACUUUUUGAGGUUCAUUAUUCAUUUCCUUUAAUUUUCCGUCAUUAGGUUUCUACUGCAUUGUAAUGCUGUACACAAGGUUAGACUCCUUGCAAGGCACUUCUAUUCACUUACUACUUUCAUGUGGGGGAGCGGGGGGAAGUACAUUUAUGGACUCUUUUUGAUAUUGUGGGAUUUGUGUCUGGGUGUGAGUGCACAAAUUUUGAUCAGUAGCUAACUAAUGGAUGUCAUUGCUUGCAGUUUAAAAUGUAGAAAAAUAAUUUGUGUCUGAGUGUGAGUGCACAGAUUUUGAUCUGGAACUAAUUAAUGGAUAUCAUUGUUUAAAAUGUGGAAAAAUUAGUUUAUUCUAUGCUAGCUUUUCAUGUCUCGCUUUUCAUAACAUGAGUUGGACUGACCUCAGUCAGUUGAUGUUUCAUGUUUUUGAUUCAUUGAAGGUACUAUGAAUUGGGACCUGAUGAUCCGCCAUAUGCUGCCAAGUUUUACGACUGCUUGCGGGGCCGAGGAUGCUGAUGCCUCUGGUUGUACCACUGGCUUCCAUGUCUCUUAUGAUGAUGAUUAACAUAAUAUUUACCUCCUAAUCACCUGUAACUAUACAUUAAAUUUGUAGAUAUCUCCAUGUCUCCUCCUGUGACGCACAUCAUUUCCACUGUUAUACCACUGUAUAAUUCAGGUCUUUCAUCAGUUUGUCUCUUCAAUUCUCAACAUUUUUCUUUUUUUACCUGGGGUUGAUAUGGCAUGAAUUUGCCAUGUGCUGCUAUGGCCAACUUUCUAGGGAUGAUGGGAAAUCUUAACCCUUUUGGAGAACUCCAACUUCUGGAAUUAGUUGGUCGAGGGAAUUUGAAGGGCAUAUACUGGAAGCCAAGGCCUUCCCACAUCUAAAGUAAAGAGUAAUGCUACUUCGACAGAAAUAGGUUUACAAAAUUUUGACAUACUUAUGAAAGACUAAGUUACCUUUUAACUUUUUACAACUAGCGAAUGAUAAUAAAACAAGGGGUGAUGAUUUGGGCAUUUUACAUAUUUUUGUAAAACUACUAGACUACUAAGCUAAAAUUAGCAACUUUAUAGUGUUAGUAAAUAAUCAAGAAUCAACCUAAAUUUAUAUUCAGGAAAGAAAUAACUACGGAGUAGAAAAAAUCAAUGAGGCGAUUGAAAAUUACACCAAAAUUAAUAGUAAGGCAUUUGAGAUUGCAGUAGAACUUCUCAAUAAUCAUAUUACUAGGAUCAAUUAAUUUUGUUACUAUAAGGAGAUUAAAACUUUGUAGAGGUUUAGUUCAAAAUUACUAUCUUGACUUCAUUAUUCUUAGUGUAAGUAAGAUAAUUAAUAAUUAAUAAUUAAUUAAUAGAGUGUGUCAAUUCUAUGAAGCUUCAAACAUGCUUGAGUACUUAAAAUUAUUUUGUCUUCAACAAGAAGGUGUGUGUAUUAUUGAAUUAUUUUUGUAAUAUACAAAUAAUUGUUAUUAUGUGGAGGCAAUUUCAAAGAUGUGAUAAAAAUUUUAAAGAAUAAAUUAUUGUCUCGAACAACUUAAAAUUUUUUUUUUCUAUACUAAAUCUUUAAAGUAACAAAUAUGUUUUGCAAUACACAUAUAAUUAUUAUUAUGUGGAGGCAAGUUAUUAAAGUCGGGAUUUAAAAAACUUAUUACAAUUAGAGUUCAUUCUUAUUUAUAAUUUGUUUAAAUUAAAGUUAAAAAAUUUUUAUGGCUACAAAUGAGUUAUUUUUAUAUAGAUUAUCACUAUAAAUAUAGAGUAUCACUAUAAAAACGUUUUACGAUAUUGAUUCAUAAUCAAUCAUCCGUCAUAAUAAGCACAAGAAUGACAAGUUUUGAUUCUCAAAUAAAUACUUAUAAAACACAACCAUGGAUUAAGAUUGUCGGGAAAUGGGAAUGCAAUACAAAGUAAUUAAUCACACAGUCUCAGUGUUUCACUUACACGUGAAGCAAACGAAACAAGAAGAAUCUUAAGAAAAAAACACUCACCGGAACGCAAGGUUCAAUCCCGGUUUACUACGUCAACCUCCAUUCCUCAAAGAAGUUGGAAACAGAGACGGAAAGCAUUUUGAGUGGCUUCAUUCUCCCAUUGAAGCUCUCUCCACCAGUAUUCACCUCCACGAAUAAGAAUUCUGCCCCCAUUUGCACUAUUUGAAUCGAGUGGAAGCUUUUUAAGCGAAUCGCAACCGCGAACUUCCAAUUCUUUCAGACGUGGGAGAGGCAAGGGUUUCCAGUAAAUGCUCUUCAAAUUGCGCAGUCGCUCUAACCGAAGACGCUGGAGUUUUGCUAAAGGGCUGCUUAUUAUUCCCGUCAUCUCAGGAAUGUCAUCAAACUCUCCAGCACUGAUUAUUUCUUCCAUGUGAUCGCAAUAGCGUACGGAAAUAGACUUGAGGUUUGGAGCAAAAACGAGGAAUGUCAAGUGUUUCAAAUUUCUGCAACUGUCUACGGUAACUUCCUCAAGGCUGCGGAAAACAUAAGGUUGGCGCGAUUUUUGUACCAUAUAUUUGUAGUCAAUCUUCAGUCCCUUAAUCCAAUCACAAGAACGAAAGUAUAAUGUAUUGAGCUGCUCUAGAUCUGCUAAAUGUGCAACAUCAAUCGACUCCUCCCUACCGAACUCAUCGAGCAAGAGAGCUUGGGUACAACGUCGUAACUUCUGUGAGCUCAAAAAUGUUUGGUAAGCCUUAAAACUCCUGAAGGUGAUCUCCAGUACCUCUAAAUAUUUCAAACCGAGCAAUUCCUCUGCUACAUUCUCAUACCUAGAGCUAAACGGUCUGUCAAAUGAUAAAAGACCAACACCAAUACCAAGCAUUCUCAACACACGUAACCUUGAAAAAUUAGAUAACAGUUGCUGUGGAACUUCAACUAACUUGGCUGCCCAGUCCAAAUUCAAACAUUUAAGAUUUACCAACGCUUUUAACUCUUCGGGUAACUCUGUAACGCUUGUAUUUGAAAUAUCAAGGAGUUGUAGUGAAACCAACUUUGAGAUCCCCAUUGGUAACUGCCGUAGCAUUAUAUUAUCUGACACCUUCAAAACUGUUAGACAAGGCAUAGAAUGGAAGAAGCCACCGGCGAUCGUCGUCAACUUAUUAUCGUUAAGAAACAAAGUAAGAAGACGAGGGCAUGUAGGAACAGUUGGUAGAUUUUUAAUUGAAUUUUUCAUCAAUGAUAAUCUUCUCACCAUUUCCCAUCCUCUGACAUCUGCAGGUGCCUCCGUUAAUCCGGAACCUGCAUAAACCAAAAAGCCCUCCUUCUCCUUCUCAAUCUCACAAGUUAUCCACAAUGCCAUAUCGCGGAUGACGUCAUGCAUUUUUACUUGAUCAUCUUCUACCUCUUCCAAUAAACAUGCAUGAACUAGAGUGGCCACGAUGUAGUAUCCUUGGUUUUGUGUGCCAAACUUGGCUUCAUCCAAAAACCCCUCGCAAAUCCAGCAAUCAAUCAAGUCUCUUUUAUAUAUACUGUAAUCUUCUGGAAAUAAACAACAAUAUAAGAAACAAGAUCUGAUUGCAUCGUUUGGCAAGCAAUCAUAGCUGAAUUUUAAAAGAGGAUAUACCUCCUUUUCCAAACCUGCAAAUUUGGAAGCUGAUCUUCUUAAAACUUCAAUCGCAUAUCUCCAUUCUUCAGGAGCCUUUUUGUAGGCCAUGGCUCGACCAAUAGUAAUAAGCGCGAGCGGCAAUCCAUCGCACUCCUUUGCCACAGUUUGAGCUAGUUCAGGAAUACUAUGAUGACUCUCAAUAGUUUCUUCCCCAACUUUCUCUCGAAAUAGCUCCCAAGCAUCCUCAUCGGAUAAGCAUGCCACUUUGAACUUCCUUCGAGCUUCCAUGCGGCCACAAACAUCAACGAAACGGGUUGUAAAUACCACUGCACUAUUUUUUGGGCUGUUACUACUACUAGGAAGAGGGACACCAAUCUUCUUUAGAUCAACCCGCUCCCAUAGAUCAUCCAACAACAAAGCAAACUUCUUCUUGCUUAAAGUCUUGAAGAUGUCCUGAGCUUUCUCUUCGAGACUUUUGUCCUUCCAUGAAUCAGUAUAUAGACCUAUCUUUUUCCCGAUAGUUUCCUGAAUUUUUUCAAGCUGCAGGUCGUUGGACACCACAACCCAAAUCACAUAAUCAAAAUCUGUUGGAUUAUCAACAAAUUUAUUAUUGAUUUGGGUUAACAGUGUAGUUUUACCGACGCCGCCCAUGCCGUAUAGGCCAAUUAUACCAGCUGCAGGUUCUUGUACAAGCCAUCUCCAAACUUGUUCAAGUUGUGAUUGCAAGCCUACCACCGUUGGCUCCGUAGGUCUUUCAUCUGCCCCAGAUAGUAAUUCUGGAGCUGCCACCUCUUCAAAAACUCCUUCCCCCCUUAAGGCCUUCACAUCUCGCAGCCUUUUAACAACUUUUCUACCAAACUUGUAGCUUGACUUGCAGUUCCUGGAGCAGUAGCCUCCAAGACACAAUUUGUCAAUUUCCUGAGAGCCACCAUCUCUUCCCAUGAGUUCAUCAACUUCAGUUUUAAGAGUCUCCACCCUCGAAAGCCAAUCCUGCACUUGGUUCAGCCUCUUCAUUUUGUGUUGGUUUUCAGCAUUGAGGACCCUCGUCAUCACAUCAUUCUUUGCAGCGAUUAGUUGUUCCAAUUCAGUCGUCAAGGCAACAACAUUAUCUUUGAGGUCAGUUAUAUAUGCAGCUUUGCCAAGAGCGCAGUCUGGGCAACGAUUGAACAUUGCGCCAACAUCGCAAGAGAUUUGCAAAAUGUUACCCAUAAUAAAUUUAGCUUAUUCUUGCAUUAUUCUCACUUGUAUUUAUGAAUUCAACCAAGAGAGAAACAAAGGAAUUUAGCUUCACCAGUUUGAUGAACAGAAGCUGCGGUCGCUGAUUAAUUGAGAUAGAACAUUAGUUAUUGAAUAAUGUAAUCAGCUCUUUUUGUACCCAACUUACUAAAAAAAGUAACAAAAAAGAAAAUUUGAAAGGUGGAAUGCAGCUGGCAAAGGAAAAAUCAAAGGCCAUGCUUCCCACAUCAAGAUGGUGGUGGUGGUACCAUCUUUGUGUUUCCUUGACCUUAUCCAAUAUUCAUCAUUUUUGGUCCCACAUCAUGCACGUGCUUGACAGUUAUUUCGAUUUUAUCUCUUUUUAUUCCCCCUUUCAGAUCAGCAUUUUUGUCUUGAUUCUUGAAUAGUUGAAUAUGUAUGUGUGUGGGGGCAUAUAAUAUAUAGUACUUAGAUUUUGUUUAAUUUUCUAUUGUUAACUUGAUUAUUUGUGGCAUUAAUUUAAUAUGAUUUACAUCUUUUUGGUUGUAGUGUUGAUGAGGUUCCUUUAUAUGAUGACCCAAUAUAUAUAUAUAUAUAUAUAUAUAUAUAUAUAUAUAUUUUGUUGUCUUCAUUUGUUUAAUUAUGAGAAAAAUAAAAUAGUAAUAAGAUUGGUCAAUUUGGGUAAACAAUUAAUGAACUAAUGUAGUAUAUCUCAUCUCACUCCCCUAGCAUAUCAUAAAUUUCCAAAAUUUGUCUUCAAUCGAUUAAACAUAAAUGCUGAUCUGUUCAGGAUGAUAUUCUGAGUCCCAUUUUCAUUUUCAUUUACUGAAAAUAAGUUGAACAACUGUUCGUUAUAAUGUUUUAAUAAAAUGAAUUAUGAAAUAAAAAAUUGAGAUUUUACUUUUGUUUACUCAAAAAGUUGAGAUUUUUAUGGUUUUAUUGAAUUUCAAGAAUGGAAGCCAUUCUCUCAUCUUUAUCUUAGUUUAGCGUCCAUGGUAAUUAAAAUGGUUUUUGUAUCAAAUUGAUAAGAUUGAAACAUCUAAUGCUGCAAUGGCUUUUGUGAUUAUUUUAAAUUUGAAGUUUAAAUUUGAUAAAACUAAUAAUUUUAUUGAGCAGAAGAUGAGUGGAAGGACUUUUUCUUUUACUUUUAGCCGAACAAAAAGAUAAAAUAAAAUGUUCAAGGACUUAUAAAAACAAAUGUCGUCAUAUUUUGCUUGUACCAAUGAAACAGUAGUUGUGAACAAGGAUUAAAAUAAUAUUUUCAAAUGAGAUUUUUCUCUAUACUUUAUCAUACCUUUUAUUUGAAUAUCUUUUUUUCGUAUAUAAGUUUAUGAUUUCAUUUAUCAGAUGCUCUAUAAUAUAUUUCAUUUACUGAAAUUUUUUAUUAUUAAAUGUAAUGAACAAUUAAAUUUUUUAUAAGUGUUUACUGUGUGAUACCAAAAAAUAAAUAAACUCUAUAUAAUCCAUUGACAUAAAUAUAAACUAUAUGUUUAAGUAAAAAAAAAAAAGUUUCAAUCCAAUGCUACCGAACAAGUAUUACAGUUUUUAUAUUUAAAAUAUAAGUUUCAAAAACUCAUACCGAACACAUACUUAUAUUUAGAAUACUGGUUUCAAAAACAUCAUUUUUAUUUUUGUUUUUGUUCUAUAAAAACAUCAAUUUACAAUAAUAAAGACAAAGAAUUGAAAAUUUUAAUAAGAAUUAAUCUAACUACUCUCUUUAAAAGGAAAAAAAAAAGAAAAGAAAAUUAAAUUAAUAUAAUAUUAAAUUUAUAACCUCAACUCAAUGGUCAUAUCAAGAACAUAUUUAAUUAUUUUAUUUUUAAUCUACAAUUGAGAUGUCAAGCCCUGGAGUUAAAGCGGUUGUUAUCAUUUUGUUUUCUGAUUUAAUUUCCAUUUUAAAAAUAAUUUUAUAUCCCGUGAGCAAUGCAACGAAUGAUUUGCGAGUUUGGAGGAGUCCAUGCAUAUGGGGCCCACUGGUUGUUUGAUGAUUGAUUAUGUCACAUGAUUCCUGCCACAUACGAUUAUUAUCCACCCUUUAUCUCCUUUUUUUUUUUCUUUAAUACAUAAUCCCCAUUACUCAUUUCGCUUUCAAUUUCAUAUCGAUGCCGCCACUUCACUUUAUCUCUUUUUGUUUUGUUUUUCUUUUAAAUAAUCAGCAUUUUAAUUUUAUAAUUUCUAAUAUAUAACUAAUACUUGAGAGAGUAAUCAUAAUCAUAGUCAAUAUUUUUGGUGAGGAAGAUGUCAAGUAAUAUGACACUUCUCAUGUUCCGUUAACAUUUCAAUUAUAUUAUUAAUUAUCAUCUUAAUUUAGAUAGUAUUAUUUAUUUACGAGAACAUAUCAAUUAUGAAAUUUUUAAUUUUAAAAAUUAAAGAAAUGAUUGAACUGAUUUUUUUCUUAUUAAUUGAUAGCUUAGAUGCAUUUUAUUACAUGUUAAAUAAUUAUGAAUACAUAUCCUUUUUGGUAAUUUAAUUACAUAAAAGUACUUUUAAUUUUACACAAUCAAACCGUUUAAUGGUUCAAAAGUAUUUUUUUAAUUGACAACCAAACACCCAAUUACUUUUUAUCCAAAAGCUCUAUUGGUAUAAGAUCUACUUCUAUAAGAGCUACUGCUAUAAGCUCUAUUUAAUAAGUUGUACAAAACGGAGCCUUACACGAUUGAUUUAUCUAUUUUUUAUUUUACAUUUUUUUUACUCUUCCUCAUGUUAUUGUCCCUUUCUUUUUCUUUUCUUUUUCCUUAGCAGCAAUGUUCCCAAAUUUAAUCGAGAAACAAAGCUAUAAAUGAUAGAACUUAUUAGUUUGAUAAUUAACAAACUCGCAACAGAUAGUACUCAAUUUCAUCCCUAAAUGAAUGCAACACGACUGUGGGCAUAAUACGUCGAGACUUGGGAAAACGUGGCCCUAAGGCAUUUUCAGAAAGAUUAGGGGAUUAACUUAAAUUUAAUUCUUUUAAAAUGUGAAGUUUACGUUUUGCACCCUUUGAAUUUACAGUUUCUUAUUUAUGGCAUCUCAAUUUGGCUUCUCUCGAAUAUGGUCCACGUUAAACCAAAAUUAUAAUUGCACCACUAAAUAUGAAAGUACUGAAAACCUAUUUGAAGUGGAAAGUUAGCGAGUUUCUAUAUUUUUUAAGGAUAUAUUUUAAGUAUGAUAAUCGGCCACCACAUAUUACAUUCAUGUAUGAUAAUCGGCCACCACAUAACUUACCCAAUAUUCAUCAUUUUUGGUCCCACACCAUGUGCUCGACAGUUGUUUCGAUUUUAUCUCUUUUUAUUCCCCCCUUUCUUUCUUUCGUUCUUUAUUUCAGAUCAGCAUUUUUGUCUUGAUUCUUGAAUAGUUGAAUAUGUAUGUGUGUGGGGGCAUAUAAUAUAGGAAAAUGCUACUUUCCCCGGGUCAAAUCCCGGGUCAAACCCCGAAUUAAAUAAAAACGACGCCGUUUUAGUUUCUUUUUUUUGCUUCCAUGAAACGCAGUCGUUCAGCCUAGUGAAAACAGAAAAAACGCAGCUGCUUUUCUUUCUCUUCCUCUUCCUCUUCGAUUCACCACACCCGAGCAAAAGCUUGAACAACAGCAGUGAUGUGUGUGUGUGUGUGUCAUUUUUCUCAUGCUUAUAGAAGGCAAUAAAGCUGCUGAUUCUGGACUAUUUUGGUGUCCACAAAAUCCGCUUUUGUGCUUCUAAUUAACUUGCUUUCUAUUAUUUAUAAUUCUUUCACUUUCUUUAAAGGUAAAUCUCACCUAGGUUUAUGCUUUUUCUUCUAAAUCUAAAGCCCUAUAAGUCCGUUUGCAGUUUGUAUUGGAGCUGUAAAAUGCAGAGCAAUUGCAGCACAAAUUGCAGACAAACAGAGCACAAAUUGCAGACCAAUUUAGCACGCAUUGCAGCACAAUUUGCAGAAGUCACUUGCACAGCAACUCAUCAAAAAAUGCAGAGCAAUUGAAAACAAAAUGCAGACAAAUCUGUACACAGUUUCUUCCGGACCAAAAUCUCAUUUUCAUCAUCAUUCAUCCUCAACACUGGGCACCCAAAUCAAGUGCGGAAAGGAAAAAUGAAUAUCAAUUGCAAUUUAACACACUUAUUUUCUUAACAUUUUACUUCAACCGAAAAUUAAAUAAAAUGGAAAUGACAAUAGCUAUCAAAAUUCAGCACUUGCAAAGCAAUUAAAUUCAGCACUUGCAGAGCAAUAAUAUUCAGCACUUGCACUAGAUCAGCCAAAUUGCAGCACUAAAGAUCGAAGACGUUUGGGUUUGCUUUUUCCUGGGUCAAACGGCAACGUUUGCUUUCGAUUGAUUGAAACGGCUGGUGAAACGAUGAGGAGAAUCGAAGAGGACAAGAAGAUGCAAACGAAGACAUUCGGUUUUGUUUGGCUGAAACGACUACGUUCCAUGGAAGCAAAAAGGACAAAAAAAAGAAGCCAAAACGGCGUCGUUUUGUUUAAUUCGGGGCGCGUUUCGGGGUUAAAAUUCGGGGUGAAUAGCAGCGCUCCAAAGGAAAUGCUUGUAAUGAUUUGAUUCCAGUUUGGCUGGUUAGGUUGUUUAUUUAUUUAUCAGUCAUUGUAGGAAUUUAUGAAUCAGGGGAACUCGUCUGUUGGAUUUUUUUAAGAACUGUGAAGUAUUAGCUGAUUUUUUACCAUAUUUUGGAAUUUUAUUUUGUCUUUGAGAUGAGGAAUAAAUUGAUACCGUUUCUAUUGACCUUUCAUAUGAAAACUACUUGAGCGCAUGAUAUAUAUCUGUUUUUGUUCAUUUCUGUAUUUUGUUGCUGUUGACUGAAGCUGGAUUUUCAUGCUCGUUUUUAUCAUUUAUUCUUUUGAAAUCGCGAAAUGAAUUCUCAAUAUUUUCAGGGGAAAUGCUUAUAAUUAGAGCGAAUUUAAACAUUGAUUGUGUACUGUAUACCUGCAAGGGGCAGUUUAUUUCCUUUGAUUUGAGUAAAAUAAAAUCUCCGUGAUGGUAGCACUUAUUUAAUCAAGCAGGACCUAAAAGAUGGAAAGGAGCGAUACAUAGACAAAAAAAAACACCCCUUAUGAAUUCCAUGGCACUUCUUCCAUUUUGUCACUCGGGGACUACUCAAGAAUUUCACAUUUCAGUUUCGUAAUUUAUAAUUAAAUAUAAAAGAAUUUUUUGAAAAUUUGAUGACAGUUGUUGAAAACAUUUACUAAUUAUAAAUGCGUUAAAAAUUAUUUGAUUCAUUUAGUAUCAUUAUUAGUGAUUUAAUUUUUCAUCUUGAUUUAAAAAAAAUUAAUUUUUUUUUAAUUUUAAAAAGCAAAAUAGAUAACUCUUGACUAAGCGACAGCCGAUGAAUUUUGUAUUAAUCUGGAAAAGUAUUACUACAUCUACGUGUCAUUUAAAGGUUCUUGUAAUUUGAGACGACUUGUCGUCUAUGAUUUAGACCGGACCGGUUCGCGCAAACUUCAAAGCUUUCGAGUAUUCACGGAGCGGCAAUCGCAAAAUCCCUCAAAAGAACACACACAAGGAAUGGAGACUGGGAAAGUAAAGGAGAAGGAGAAGGAGAAGGAGAAGGAGAAAGUGUGCAAGAGGUGUAAGCAAACGUACACAGCUUCAUCAAACAGCUCUUCUUCUUGCCGCUUUCACCCUUCCUUCUUCGUUUGCCGUCGUCACGACGACCAGAAAAGGUACCCUCCCCGCUCCCUCUUUUGAUAAUCAUUUCGCAUACCCUUUUCUUCGAUUUAUUUUAUUUUUUUCUCAUGUACCCUUGCGAUUCUUUUGCAUUUUUUUAUUGGAUGUUAUUAAUUAUUAUAAAAAAAAUUCUAAAAAAUAAAUAAAAUUCACGGCAGCUGGGAGUUGAACGAAACUCUGAGUCCAGUCCUGUUUGGUAGGAUUCUUUGAUUUACAAAGCAUCGAGUAAUCAGAUUCGCUGGGUAUUCAUUUUGUUUUGUUAUUUUUCCAUGUGUCAAUUUUCAUUUAAUUUGGGUUUGUUUAUUUUUGGAUGACUUAGAAAUCCUAAUGUACAACGGCAAUAAUUAGAUGCCGUUAAAUAAUUAUUCCAUUUGCCAGCUGGUUAAUUGUUUCAGGAGUUCAUGCUGAGACUUGUUUUACCACGCCAUCCGUACAAAAAUCUAAUGAAGUCCGGCCAUGUAUAUAUUUAUUUUUUAAAACUGCCGUACAAGUUGAUAAUUACAUUUAAUACAUGCAUCCAUAAUGUCUUCAUAUGGUUGUACAACAACUGGAGUACUAUUGCUGUUAUACAGAGGUGCUAAACUGCUAAUCUCAAAACGUCAUUUGCCACAAGCACCGCAACUACUGAUGGCAUAUCAUGUAUUACUUACAAAUCAACUGAUUUUGUAUUAAUCUUCUGUUUUUCUUAUAGUAUGAGUAUACCGUAGGUGGUACUAUUGUUUGCAUAUUGAAGAAAGCUCAUUUAUGGUAGGAUUUGUAAUUGUUUUGUGUGGCAAAAGCACCUCUUUGUUUGCCUUCAAAUAUCUGGGUUGACAGGGACAGAAUUUUAAGAAGUGGAACUGUUGAUAACAAAGCUAAAAGCUGAAAGUUUCUCAUUCUUGUUUCCUGGAUUUUUCAGUUCAUACCAAAUCUACUUUUUGAGGUUCAUUAUUCAUUUCCUUUAAUUCUUCGUCAUUGGGUUUCUACUGCAUUGUAAUGCUCCACACAAGGUUAGACUCCUUGCAAGGCACUUCUAUUCUAUGCUAGCUUUUCAUAUCACGCUUUUCAUAACAUGAGUUGGACUGAGCUCAGUCAGUUGAUGCUCCAUGUUUUUGAUUCAUUGAAGGUACUAUGAAUUGGGACCUGAUGAUCCACCGUAUGCUGCCAAGUUUUACGACUGCUGCGGGGCCGAGGAUGCUGAUGCCUCUGGUUGUACCACUGGCUUCCAUGUCUCUUAUGAUGAUGAUUAACAUAAUUUUUACCUCCUAAUCACCUGUAACUAUAGAUUAAAUUUGUAGAUAUCUCCGUGUCUCCUCCUGUGACCCACAUCAUUUCCACUGUUCUACCACUGUAUAAUUCAGGUCUUUCAUCAGUUUAUCUCUUCAUUUCUCAACAUUUUUCUUUUUUUUUUCCUGGGGUUGAUCUGGCAUGAAUUCGACAUGUGCUGCUAUGGCCAACUUUCGAGGGAUGAUGGUAAAUCUUAACCCUUUUGCAUAAACUUCUGGAAUUAGUUGGUCUAGGGAGUUUGAAGAGCAUAUACUGGAAGCCAUUGCCUUCCCACAUCUUAAGUAAAGAGUAAUGCUACUUUGGCAGAAAUAGGUUUACAAAAUUUUGACAUACUUAUGAAAUACUAAAUUACCUUUUAGUUUAUUUACAGAUAGCGAAUUGGGCUUUUUACAUAUUUUUGUAAAACUACUAGACAACUGAGCUAUAAUUAUCAAUUUUAUUUUGUAUUAGUAAAUAAUCAAAGAAUCAACCUAAACUUAUAUUCAGGAAAGAAAUAACUACAGAGGACAAAAAAUUAAUGAGGCGAUUGAAAAUUACGCCAAAAUUAAUAGUAAGGCAUUUGAGAUUGCAGUAGAACUUCUCAAUAAUCAUAUUAUUAGGAUCAAUUCAUUUUGUUACUAUAAGGAGGUUAAAACUUUGUAGAAGUUUAGUUCAAAAUUACUAUCUUGACUUCAUUAUUCUUAGUGUAAGUGAUUAGUAUUAAAAAUUGUUUAAUUAUCAAGCGAUAAUAUGUUAUUUUAUGCUUAUGUUAUAAUUUAUAUUUGUGUUUAUGUAAUAUAUUAUGAAUUAUUAAUUAUGUUUUAAAUAUAUUUAAUUUUGUGUAUUUUUAUGUGUUUAUUAGGAAAAUUAUUAAUUUCACGUACUUCGAGGCUCCAAACAGAUAAACGGAGGUCAAAUUUGGAUUCCGGAGGUCCGAAAACCUUAAGAUCAGUCAAGAUCGGCUUAAAAUUGGGCUUGUGUAAAAAAAGUUGACUUUUCCUGUUGACCGAGCACUGAUUGGAUGAUGAAAUGAGCUUACAAUAGAUAUGAGUGCAUGGGAUAACUGGCAAUCUUGACCAAAUCUCAACCGUUCAUGAUUCAAUGGCCAUGAUUGUGCCACGUGGCAAUGGUUGGUGAAGCAAGUUGGAGGAUCCGAAUCUUUGUAUUCGGGUCGACCCGAUCCACCCAUUAACCCGCCAAAUCUCAACCGUUCUUUGGGUAAAUCGGACGAGUCAAAUGAUGCCAUGUGUGAUGUUGACUUUUGAAGUUUGACCAGCCAUUGGAUCUUGAUCUAAGGGUUGUGAGGAGCACAUGCAUGAAGCCUAUGAUGGACCGCAAAGCACGGGAUUAUGAAUUUAUUUUUUCUAUAAAUAGGGCCUCAUUUUUAUGUUUUAAUCAUCUCUCUACAACUCUCUUCUUCUCAAAUUCUCUCCAUCUCCUUGUAAUCUUGAUUUCCAGGUGUGUUUUUAAUAUUUUGUAUAAUUAUUUUCAUUAAUAAAAUUAGUUUUAUUUUCAAUUUUAGUUGUUUUUAUUUCUUUUAAUUAUAAGUAAUUCAAUUUUACUACUUCUUUUUAUUUUAAUUAUGCUUAACUAAAUAAUAUUAGUUAGGGGAAGGUGAAACUCUUAAGAAAUAAAUAUGAUUUAAUCAAAUUCUAUGUUUAAUUUUAUAAAUUAAAUUAUUUUCUAUUUAAUUUUAUACAUGUUUUAUAUUUUGAAAAUUUGAUUUAUUGUAGACAAAUAAAUGAAUUUGGCACAAUAAAUUCUUAAGAUCUUAAUAUAAGGCAUGGUGAAAUGGUAUUUUGACUUAUUGUAGACAAAUUAAAUUUUGGCACAAUAAAUACUUAAUCCAUCAUAAAAUUAAAGGGAAAAUAAUAAUAAUUUGUAUAAUUAAUCUUUUGAGUAAUAAAUCUAAAACAAAUUGGCAAAAAGAAUUUAUUAAGUUUUAUUUGUUUCUAAGAGUGGAUCCAUAACCCUAACUAGUUCAAUUCCAUAGUUUCAUUUAAAUUAAGUUGUUUAUAUUCAAGUUUUAAUUUCAAUUUUUAGAUCAAAUAAAAUAAAUUAAUUAAAUCUUUUCUCUGUGGAUCGACCUCGGACUCACCGAGUUAUAAUACAACAAGACACUCUUAUACUUGGGAGUUAAAAUUUACUUUUAAGUUGUGUCAGUAAGUAAGAUAAUUAAUAAUUAAUUCAUGGAACAUGUCAAUUCUAUGAAGCUUCAAACAUGCUUGAAUACUUAAAAAUAUUUUGUCUUCAACAAGAAGGUGUUUAUAUUAUCGAAUUAUUUUUGCAAUAUACAAAUAAUUAUUAUUAUGUGGAGGCAAUUUCAAAGAUGUGAUAACAAUUUUAAAGAAUAAAUCAUUAUCUCAAACAACUUUAAAAAAUAUAUUUUUUUAUACUAAAUCUUUUAAAGUAACAAAUAUGUUUUGCAAUACACAUAUAAUUAUUAUUAUGUGGAGGCAAGUUACUAAAGUCGGGAUCUAAAACACUUAUUACAAUUAGAGUUAAUUCUUAUUUAUAAUUUACCUAAAUUAAAGUUAAAAUUUUUUUAUGACUAUAAGAGAGUUAUUUCUAUAUAGAUUAUCACUAUAAAUAUAGAGUAUCACUAUAAAAAGGUUUUACGAUCAAUCAUCCAUCAUAAUAAGCACAAGAAUGACAAGUUUUGAUUCUCAAAUAAAUUCUUAUAAAACACAACCAUGGAUUAAGAUUGUCAGGAAAUGGGAAUGCAAUACAAAGUAAUUAAUGACACAGUCACAGUGUUUCACUUACACGUGAAGCAAACGAAACAAGAAGAAUCUUAAGAAAAAAACACUCACCAGAACGCAAGGUUCAAUCCGGGCUUAGCCCCUCUAACCACAGUUCGUCAAGAGAUUGGAAACAGAGACGAAAAGCAUUUUGAGUGGCUUCAUCCUCCCAUUGAAGCCUUCUCCACCAGUCUUCACCUCCACGAAUAAGAAUUCGGCGCCCCUUUGCACUAUUUGAAUCGAGUGGAAGCUUUUCAAGCGAAUCGCAAUACUCCACUUUCAAUUCUUUCAGACGUGGGAGAGGCAAGGGCUUCCAGUAAAUGCUCUUCAAAUUGCGCAGUCCCCAUAAGUGAAGACGCUGGAGUUUUGCGAAAGGGCAGCUUAUUAUUCCCGUCAUCUCAAGAAUGUCAUCAAACUCUCCAGUACUGAUUAUUUCUUCCAUGUCAUAGCAAUGGUCUACGUAAAUAGACUUGAGGUUUGGAGCAAAAACGAGGAAUGUCAAUUGUUUCAAAUUUCUGCAAUAGCUUACGGUAACUUUCUCAAGGCUGCGGAAAACAUAAGGUUGGCGCGAUUUUUGUACCAUAUCUUUGUAGUCAAUCUUCAGUCCCCCAGGCCAACCACAACGAGAAAAGUAUAAUGUAUUGAGCUGCUCUAGAUCUGCUAAAUCUCCAACAUCAAUCGACUCCUCCCUACCGAACUCAUGGAGAAAAAGAGCUUGAGUACAACUUCGUAACUUCUGUGAGCUCAAAAAUGUUUGGUAAGCCUCAAAACUCCUGAAGGUGAUCUCCAGUACCUCUAAAUAUUUCAAACCGAGCAAUUCCUCUGCUACAUUCUCAUGCCAAGAGCUAAACAGUCCGUAAGGUGAUCUAAUACCAAUACCAAACAUUCUCAACACACGUAACCUUGAAAAAUUAGAUAACAGUUGCUGUGGAACUUCAACUAACUCGUCUGCCCAGUCCAAAUUCAAACAUUUAAGAUUUACCAACGCUUUUAACUCUUCGGGUAACUCUCUAACGCUUGUAUUUGAAAUAUCAAGGUGUUGUAGUGAAACCAACUUUGAGAUCCCCAUUGGUAAUUGCUGUAGCAUUCUAUUAUCUGACAUCUUCAAAACUGUUAGACAAGGCAUAGACUGGAAGAAGUCAUCGGUGAUCGUCGUCCACUCAUUAUCGUUAAGAAACAAAGUAAGAAGAUGAGGGCAUGUAGGAACAGUUGGUAGAUUUUCAAUUGAAUUUGUCAUCAAUGAUAAUCUUCUCACCAUUUCCCAUCCUCUGACAUCUGCAGGUGCCUCCGUUAAUCCGGAACCUGCAUAAACCAAAAAGCCCUCCUUCUCCUUCUCAAUCUCACAAGUUAUCCACAAUGCCAUAUCGCGGAUGACGUCAUGCAUUUUUACUUGAUCAUCUUCUACCUCUUCUAAUAAACAUGCACGAACAAGAGUGGCCACGAUGUAGUAUCCUUGGUUUUGUGUGCCAAGCUUGUCUUCAUCCAAAAACCCCUCGCAAAUCCAGCAAUCAAUCAAGUCUCUUUUAUAUAUACUGUAAUCUUCUGGAUAUAAACAACAAUAUAAGAAACAAGAUCUGAUUGCAUCGUUUGGCAAGCAAUCAUAGCUGAAUUUUAAAAGAGGAUAUACCUCCUUUCCCAAACCUGCAAAUUCGGAAGCUGAUCUUCUUAAAACUUCAAUCGCAUACCUCCAUUCUUCAGGAGUCUUUUUGUAGGCCAUGGCUCGACCAAUAGUAAUAAGCGCGAGCGGCAAUCCAUCGCACUCCUUUGCCACAGUUUGAGCUAGUUCAGGAAUACUAUGAUGACUCUCAAUAGUUUCUUCCCCAACUUUCUCUCGAAAUAGCUCCCAAGCAUCCUCAUCGGAUAAGCAUGCCACUUUGAACAUCCUACGAGCUUCCAUGCGGCCACAAACAUCAACGAAACGGGUUGUAAAUACCACUGCACUAUUUUUUGGGCUGUUACUACGACUAGGAAGAGGGACGCCUACCUUCUUUAAAUCAACCCGCUCCCAUAGAUCAUCCAACAACAAAGCAAACUUCUUCUUGCUUAAAGUCUUGAAGAUGUCCUGAGCUUUCUCUUCGAGUCUUUUGUCCUUCCAUGAAUCAGUAUAUAGACCUAUCUUUUUCCCGAUAGUUUCUUGAAUUUUUUCAAGCUGCAGGUCUUUGGACACCACAACCCAAAUCACAUAAUCAAAAUCUGUUGGAUAAUCAACAAAUUUAUUAUUGAUUUCGUUUAACAGUGUAGUUUUACCGACACCGCCCAUGCCGUAUAGGCCAAUUAUACCAGCUACAUGUUCUUGUACAAGACAUCUCCAAACUUGUUCAAGUUGUGAUUGCAAGCCUACCACCGUUGGCUCAGUAGGUCUUUCAUCUGCCACAGAUAUUAAUUCUGGAUCUGGCGCGGCCACCUCUUCAAAAACUCCUUCCCCCUUUAAGGCCUUCACAUCUCGCAGCAUUUUAGCAACUUUUCUACCAAACUUGUAGCUUGACUUGCAGUUCCUGGAGCAGUAGCCUCCAAGACACAAUUUGUCAAUUUCCUGAGAGCCACCAUCUCUUCCCAUGAGUUCAUCAACUUCAGUUUUAAGAGUCUCCACCCUCGACAGCCAAAGCUGCACUUGGUUCAGCCUCUUCAUUUUGUGUUGGUGUUCAGCAUCGAGGACCCUCGUCAUCACAUCGUUCUCUGCAGCGAUUAGUUGUUCCAAUUCAGUCGUCAAGGCAACAACAUUAUCUUUGAGGUCAGUUAUAUAUGCCGCUUUGCCAAGAGCGCAGUCUAGGCAAAGAUUGAACAUUGCGCCGUCGCAAGAGAAUGAGAUUUGCAAAAUGUUACCCAUAAUGUAUCUCACUUGUAUGUAUGAAUUCAACCAAGAGAGAAACAAAGAAAUGUAACUUAACCAGUUUGAUGAACAGAAGCUGCUGUUGCGGAAUGAGAUAGAACAUUGGUUAUUGAAUAAUGUAAUCACCUCUGUUUGUACCCUACUUACUGUUUGCAUGAGUUAAUGAGCCUGCAAUUGGCCAGGUCCAUAACUGUUUGCAUGCUUCCCACAUCAAGAUGGUGGUAGUGGUACAUCUUUGUGUUUCCUUGACCUUAUCCAAUAUUCAUCAUUUUUGGUCCCACACCAUGUGCUUGACAGUUGUUUCGAUUUUACCUCUUUUUUUUUUUUCUUUUUUUUUCCUUUCUAUCUUUCAGAUCAGCAUUUUUGUCUUGAUUCUUGAAUAGUUGAAUAUGUAUGUGUGGGUGGGUAUAUAUAGUACUUAGAUUUUGUUUAAUUUUCUAUUGCUAACUUGAUUAUUUGUGGCAUUAAUUUAAUAUGAUUUACAUCUUUUUGGUUGUAGUGUUGAUGAGUUGCCUUUAUAUGAUGACCCAAUUUUUUUUUUGGUCUUCAUUUGUUUAAUUAUGAGAAAAAUAAAAUAGUAAUAAGAUUGGUCAUUUUGGCUAAACAAUUAAUGAACUAAUGGAGUAUAUCUCAAUUUGGGUAAACAAUUAAUGAAAUUUGAGGGGUGUGAAAAGCUUAACUCAAUAAGAAAAGCGAUACCUCUUCUAAAAAAAAAAUAAGAAAAGUGAUACGAAAAAUCACUACUCGUUGGAUUAUUUAUAUGGAUGGCCCAUCCCACUGAAGAGUAAAGCGGCUUACGGCCCAAUUUAAUGAGCCCAUUGCCGACUCGUUGCUCUCCCUACGCGCUUUAAAUCUCGUACAAAUCACAGCCAACCAUAUAUUAUAAACGAGGCUCGCGGUUAUUCCAUCGAACAUGGGUCCCAGCAUGCCCCGUCCAUAUCAUAAAUUUCCAAAAUUUGUCUUCAAUCGGUUAAACAUAAGUUUCAAAAUUCUUUCCAAAAAAAAAAAGAAAUUGCCAAUACCAAUCCUUUAAAGUUUAAAACAUCCAAAAGGGGGAAAAAGCUUUUUUUGAGUCGUCCAUAUCAUAAAUUUCGACUAAAGUUGGGACAUGGCAUGUGGUAGACAUGUGGAUUGAUUGCAUAUGUUAUUUGAGUCGUUGUAUCAUCGGCUUCACAUUAUUAAUAAGCUUUUUUUUUCACCCAAAUUCUUCUAAGAAUUAUGAGCAUAUUUUUUAGCAUAAUUGUUGGCUGAUCAGAAACUCUCGAAAGUUCGCCUAUAAUUUAGAUUAAACCAGCAAUUAACAUGAGAAGUUAGGGUGGCAGGCAGGACAAUGGGAACCAACUCAAAUCUGGUUCCAUUAGCAAGCAGCAGCCAAAUUCCAAGAUUCUCAACAAUUUUAGGGACCUGCUCAGGAUGAUAUUCUGAGUCUCAUUUUCAUUUUCAUUUACUGAAAAUAAGUUGAAUAACUGUUCGGUACAAUGUUUUAAUAAAAUGAAUUAUGAAAUAAAAAAUACAGAUUUUACUUUUGUUUACUCAAAAAGUUGAAGAACGACCUUUUUAUGGUUUUGUUGAAUUUCAAGAAUGGAAGCCAUUCUCUCAUCUUUAUCUCAGAUUAGCGUCCAUGGUAAUUAAAAUGGUUUUUGUAUCAAAUUGACAAGGUUGAAACAUCUAAUGCUGCAAUGGGUUUUGUGAUUAUUUUAAAUUUGAAAGUUAAAAUUUGAUAAAACUAAUAAGUUUUAUUGAGCAGAAGAUGAGUGGAAGGACUUUUUCUUUGAUUUUUAGCCGAACAAAAAGAUAAAAUAAAAUGUUCAAGGACUUAUAAAAAAAAUGUCGUCAUAUUUUGCUUGUACCAAUGAAACAGUAGUUGUGAAAAAGGAUUAAGAUAAUAUUUUCAAAUGAGAUUUUUCUCUAUACUUUAUCAUACCUUUUAUUUGAAUAUCUUUUUUCGUAUAUAAGUUUAUGAUUUCAUUUAUCAGAUGCUCUAUAAUAUAUUUCAUUUACUGAAAUUUUUUAUUAUUAAAUGUAAUGAACAAUUGAAUUUUUUUAUAAGUGUUUACUGUGUGAUACCAAAAAAUAAAUUAACUUUAUAUAAUUCAUUGACAUAAAUAUAAACUGUAUGUUUAAGUUAACAAAAAAAAAAGUUUCAAUCCAAUGCUACCGAACAAGUAUUACAGUUUUUAUAUUUAAAAUAUAAGUUUCAAAAACUCAUACUGAACACAUAUUUAUAUUUAGAAUACUGGUUUCAAAAACAUCAUUUUUAUUUUUGUUUUUGUUCUAUAAAAACAUCAAUUGACAAUAAUAAAGACAAAGAAUUGAAAAUUUUAAUAAGAAUUAAUCUAACUACUCUCUUUAAAAGGAAAAAAAGAAAAAAGAAAAUAUCUAACUACACUCACUUUCUAAAAAUAUAAAUACAUAUAAUUACACUAAAACCCCUAUAGAUUUUUAUUUUACCAAACAAUUAUGUGAUUAAUAUUUAUUUAUAAAAUAUAACAAUUAUGUGAUUAAUAUAAUAUUAAUUUUAUAAUCUCAACUCAAUGGUCAUAUCAAGAGCAUAUUUCAUUAUUUUAUUUUUAAUCUACAAUUGAGAUGUCACACCAUGGAGUUAAAGCGGUUGUUAUCAUUUUGUUUUCUGAUUUAAUUUCUAUUUUAAAAAUAAUUUUAGACCCCGUGAGCAUUCAACGAAUGAUUUGCGAGUUUGGAGGAGUCCAUGCAUAUGGGGCCCACUGGUUGUUUGAUGAUUGAUUAUGUCACAUGAUUCCUGCCACAUACGAUUAUUAUCCACCCUUUAUCUCCUUUUUUUUUCUUUAAUAAAUAACCCUCUUUACUCAUUUCACUUCCAAUUUCAUGUUCAUGCCCUUACACUAUUGAUUUAUCUAUUUUUUAUUUCACACAUUUUUUGUUUACUCUUCCUCAUGUUAUUGUCCCUUUCUUUUUCUUUUCUUUUUCCUUAGCAGUAAUGUUCCCAAAUUUAAUCGAGAAACAAAGAUAUAAAUGAUAGAACUUAUUAGUUUGAUAAUUUAUAAACUCGCAAUAAAUGGUACUCAUUUUCAUUCCUAGAUAAAUGCAAUACGACCGUGUACAGAAUACGUCGAGGUUUGGGAAAAACGUGGUCCUCUAGCAUUUUUAUUAAGAUUAGGGAUUUAACUGAAAUUUAAUUCCUUUAAAAUGUGAAGGUUACGUUUUGCACCCUUUGAAUUUACAGUUUCUUAUGUUUGGCAUCUCAAUUUGGCUUCUCUCGAAUAUGGUCCACGUUAAACCAAAAUUAUAAUUGCACCACUAAAUAUGAUAUGACAGUACUGGAAAACUAUUUGAAGUGGAAAGUUAGUGAGUUUCUAUUUUUUUAAGGAUAUAUUUUAAGUAUUAUAGAGAUAAAAAUUAACUAUCUACCUAAGUAACCAAGCGAGCAAUUUAAACUUUAGACCUCUUUUACAUCAACGGGUUAUGUUUGGCAGACUCAAUUUGUCAAUAACUAGAUAUAUGUUAUGACAGACUCAAUUUGGGGCAGAUUCUAGGGUAAGGAAACUAAAAAUGCUUAUUUUCGAAGGUGAGGAUGCCUAUGGAUGGGUGUAUAGGGUAGAGCGCUAUUUCGCCAUCAAUGGACUCUAAGAAAGGGAAAAAUUGAUGGCGGCGGCGUUAUGUUCGGAGGGAAAGGCCCUUGCGCAGUUUCAAUGGCGAGAACAACGAAAACCGUUGAGGUCAUGGGAUGAGUCUAAAGAUCGGCUAUUGGAGAGGUUUCAGGGCACUCAAGACUCAAGAGGGAGAUUUGCAUGAACAAUUUUUUACUUUGACCCAGGAUAGAAUGGUUAUGGAGUAUAAGGAGAAGUUUGAGUUGCUAUCAGGGCGUUUAUGGGGAAUUCCAGAGGCGGUAUUGGAAGGAAAUUUUAUGAAGGGACUGAAGCCAGAAAUCCGAGCCUCGCUACGCUUGCUAAGGCCGAGAGGGUUAAGGGAGUCAAUAAAGUUGGCACAAAUGGUUGAGGAUAAGAACACAAUAGAACGGGUUAAUAGGAGCAAUUCGGUCAAUUUUUCAUACCAAAACAGCACGCCAUUGGUAGGACAGAAAACCCAGACUUUGGGGUUUCAGCGAGAGUUCCAAAGUACACCACUAGGAGGCCAGAAAAUGCAAAUGGUGGAUUUACAGAGAGAUUCCCAAAGGGAUUGGGAUAGUGAGGCACGACUGGGGGUGACUUUCGAACACCUCAUGGAGACAGAGAUUCAGGAUAAAAGGGCGAAGGGGUUGUGUUUUCGAUGUGAUGAGAAAUUUUCACUAGGGCAUCGAUGUAAGGAUAAAUCACUACAAGUCCUGACUGUGUGUGAUGAGGAAGAAGGCUGGAAAGAAGCCGAAGAAGAAGACGCAAUAGUUUCCUAGAUUUCACCUUGAGGACAAGGUGUCUUUUUGGGAGGGGAGUAAUGUUUGACCAAUGAAAAUUUAAGUGCAAUUAUAAAGAGGCAGGGGCACUUUAGUAAUCUUAGGGGCGGGGGCAGUUUAGUAAUUUUAUUAUUAAUUAGGGUUCAGGUAUAAAUAAGAGAUUUUGGAGUCACCUAGAAUUUAUGUUGAGUUUUAUCUAAUGUUAAGAAUAAUUAGGAGUUUUGGGAGAUAUUAACCUACCUCUCGAAUUGUAGGUCAAGAUUAUUAUUUAUUUUUAUCAAUUAAAAAAAAAUCAGCCCUAAUUUACCCCCAAGUCCUGCCAUAAUGGAAUUUGUGUUAUUGACCUCUUCUUUUUUCCCUUUUCCUUCUUCUUGUAACAACUUCUUUAUGAAACAUGUCUUUGCGUCUGGCUCUUGUCUUACUAUGAACCUGCAGUGGAGUACUUGGCAACUACUAGAACCCUGCCACGACUAAUAGAUGUUGUUAAGAGUUCCACAAAGGAGAAGGUGAGAUCUGGAUUCUUGGUAGUAUUUAAUUUUAGCAAAGGCUUACUGCUAGGUUGUCAGGGUGGUGGUCUUGAUCCUUAGGAACUUGCUUCUCAAAGGUAAUUUUGCUGCUCAAAUGAUAGACCUUGGGCUACCUCAAGUUGUUCAAAGUUUAAAAGCACAAGCAUGGAGUGACGAGGUAAAAGAAGUUGCUCGCUGUUUACUUUUUCUUUUUCGGUUGAUUGCAUAAUUAUUUAGUUAAUAGAUCGAGUAAAAUUAAGGGAGUUGAUGGCGCUGUUUGCUACUGAUUGGUGCAUUUGGUGAUCAUUUUAAAUGGAUUAAAAUUUUACUUCGGCUUCUGUUAAGCAUGGUGUUGUAGGAUAUUCAAUUGCUUGUGUGAUGACAAAAACUACUGUUAUUUUUGUUCAUUAUAUGAAUAUUAGUGUUGUUUUGGUGCAUACUUGAUUUUGAUACCAUUAUGCCCUAUUAUUCCUUUGUUCAGCACGGAAUAAUUUUGUUUCCAUCCACACUUUGAUUGAAGCUCUGGCUGGCGAAAGUGCUGACUACUAUUGCACGGACCUACACUAUCUUUGACAAGGUGAGAUUGUAGAAUUGUGGUUUUUUUAUUACCACAUAUUUUCUUUGGCCUUGAACCAUUCAAUUUUGGCAAGGCUUGACUCUUUUUCCUCAUGAUGAACUGAAGUUGUAUACUGCUUAUGUGGAAUCUUGGUAUCCAACACAAAAUUAAGAUUUCAGCCUUCAAACUUAUAAUGCAAGAUAUUAGAUUGAGUUUGGGCGGCUCCUGAAUAGUACCAAAAAGAAUGAGUCUUGACCACCAUUGCUGAAUUUUGUUUAACCUUUAACACAAUGAUGACUUCAUCUUGCUACAUUUACAUAUAAUAGAUUUCAAUAUCUUCUUAGGAUUUACUGGAGUGUCUGAAUCAACUGGAAGAAGGUUUGAAGGAUAAUAUUAAGAGAUUGAGUUCUUUCGACAAGUACAAGCAAGAAGUCUUCCUUGGCCAUCUCAACUGGUCCCCCAUGCACAAAGAUCCCCUAUUCUGGCGUGAUAAUAUCACAAACUUUGAAGAAAAUGAUUUCCAGGUAUUUCUUUUCCCCAUGGACGGUGUUUCUAGUUUUUAUUUUUCAUUUUUCUGCUUUAACUUCACUGAGUGACUUGGCAUCAUUUUGUAUAAAGAAAUACAAAUUUUCUGUAAUACUAACGGAUAAUCUUCUCUCUCAGAUUCUAAGGGUCCUCUUAACAAUUUUGGAUACAUCCAGUGAUCCACGAGCUCUUGCUGUCGCCUGCUUUGAUCUCUCACAGUUUAUCCAGUACCAUCCAGCUGGGCGGGUCAUUGUGACGGACCUCAAAGCCAAGGAACGGGUGAUGAAAUUGAUGAACCAUGUUAGCAUAUGUGAGUAACAGAGCAGGGGAUUCCAGCUCAAGAGCUGACGUGUCAAUAUUUGUUAUACAUGUUGCUUAACGUGUAACAAGCUGAUUUCAGUAGUUGAUAACAGAUUCUAGUAGCUUCAUUAAUUAGUUAGAAAGAUUCGUUUAAGCUCAUAUAUAAACCAACACUUGUAAUCUUUUUCAUCAACUUGAUUGAAUACAAAUUCAUUGAUAUCUGUAUAUUCUUUGUUAUUUUUCUUUCUCUUUCUAUCGUUUUCUUAUCUACCAAACACAUCAACAACAUUUCUAACAUGGUAUCAGAGCCAAUGGCUAACUCAAAUCAAAAUUCUCAUUCCUAUAACUUUGUCACUCCGAUCAAGUUGGAUCACAACAACUUCAUGGUGUGGAGGAAUCAAGUUCUGGCUUCAAUCAAAGGAAACGGUCUGGAAGGUUUCAUCAAUGGAACUAAUCCGUGUCCUGAUCAGUACCUCAAUCAAGUAAGUGAAGCAUCAAGUUCAGCUCAAGGUAAUUCUAGAUCUAGAACUGAAAAUCCUGCGUUUGCUUUGUGGAUUAGAACUGACCAGCUACUGUUAAGCUGGAUGUUCUCGUCUAUUCAAGAAAAUCUACUUACCUCAGUAAUUCAAUGUGUUUCUUCUCAAGAACUUUGGGAAACUCUUACACGCAUGUUCAUCUCUCAAACUCAGGCAAGAAUUGUGCCACUAAAAAUGCAGUUACAGACUUCUAAGAAAGGGUCUAUGUCAAUGAAUGCUUAUUUUUCUAAGAUGAAACGUCUUGCUGAUAGUUUAGCUAUUGCUGGAAAGCCUGUUGAACACAAUGAUAUGAUCUCAUACAUUCUAACUGGUUUAGACUCUCAGGAUUAUGAGUCACUAGUUACUAUUCUGCUUGCUAGAAGUGAUAAUCUGAGUCUAGAUGAAUUAUAUUCCUUGUUAUUGAGUCAUGAAAUGAGGAUUGAGCAAAAGAAAGGGAAGAUCAAUGCUGAUGUAAUUCAUAAUCUCUCUGCUAACAUUGCACAAAAGAAUCAAAAUCUUCCAAGAGGUGGAUCUGGUAAUUUUGGUUUUCCAAGAGGAAAUGGAGGGUUUAACAAUGCUAAUCAAGGAGGAAAUAAUGUCAAUCAUGAGUCAAAUAUAGUGUGCCAAAUUUGUUUCAUUCCAGGUCAUGGUGCUACAAAAUGCAGAAACAGAUUUAAUCCUGCAUUUGUACCACAGAGGAAUUUCGGCAGAGGUAACUUCAGACCUGGUUUUGGAAACUAUGGCAGAGGCUUCACUCCAAAUAAUUUUCCUCCAAGACCUUUUAAUGGUUUUGGAAGAAAUAAUAAUGGUCAAUAUGCUGGAUCACCAAGGGGUUAUGGUUUUCAAAGUGGUUUUCAAGGCCAUGUCACUUAUCCAAAUUCUAAUGUUGCUGGUGCUAACUCUCAAUCUUCCUCAUUUAACUCUCACAACUCUGGUUCUGAUCAUCCAGUAGCUUUUAACUGUUUCAAUGGAACAACUAAUGCUUCUCAGUUUCAGUCAUCAACAAGCUUUCAUACUGAUUCUUCUCCUGAAAUUGUGGAAGAUCCGUCCUGGUACAUAGACAGUGGAGCCUCUACUCACAUCACAGCUGACUCAGGUAAACUCUUUAACAUGCAGCCUUAUUGUGGUACAGAAUCACUUCUGGUUGGAAAUGGAAAUGCAUUAGAAAUUAAACAUAUUGGAUCUACAGUACUUGAUACACUGACAACUGAACCUUUACUCCUAAAAAAUGUCUUACAUGUUCCAAAUAUCACCAAGAAUUUAUUAAGUAUUUCACAACUUUUAGCUGACAACAAUGUUAUUGUUGAAUUUGUUGGAAUUCUUUGUUUCAUUAAGGCCAGGAAAACAGGAACUCUGUUACUUAAGGGAGUAGCUACUGGAGGCUUGUAUCAAAUAGAAGAUUUGUCAAGUGAAGAUUCUCAAGUUUCUUGGUGUCGUAGUCAAAUAAAUAAACCUGUAUCAAUGUUUGCUACUCUCUCUAGUUCAGUCAAUUUCAAUCCCUCUCCUGUCGAGUCAUGUAAUCCAGCAGCUUUAACAAUGUCUGUGUCAUCAGUUGGUGUUGAUUUACUUCACAAGAGACUUGGACAUCCAGCCUCACACACACUUCAAACUGUUAUUAAGACUUGUAAUUUGUUUGCUGGAAUUAAUAAAACUCCAAAAAUUGCCUUCUGUGAUGCAUGUCAGUUUGGCAAAAAUCAUCUUAAACAUUUUGAUUCUGUCAUUACCAAAACAACAGCACCUCUGUAAUUAUUAUAUGCAGAUCUUUGGGGUCCUUCACAUACAACUUCCACUCAAGGCUACAGCUAUUACUUGUCAAUAUUAGAUGAUUACAGUAGGUUCACUUGGAUUUUUCCUUUAAAAGCCAAGUCUGAUUCAUUACAAGUUUUCACUGAUUUCAAAACCUUCAUUGAGAAACAUCUUGAGAGAAGAAUUAAGACUGUCCAAACAGAUUGGGGAGGGGAAUUCAGAUCAUUUUCUUCAUUAUUAACAACCUCUGGUAUCCAUUUCAGACACCCUUGUCCUCACAUUCACCAUCAAAAUGGUAAAAUAGAGAGAAAACAUAGGCACAUUGUUGACAUUGGUCUCACCUUACUAGCUCAAUCAAAUUUGCCACUUACUUUUUGGUGGAAUGCUUUCCACACUGCUGUAUUUCUCAUAAACAGAUUACCAACUCCAGUGUUGAAUAAUGUCUCACCCUAUUUCAAACUCUUUCAUCAAACUCCAGAUUACUCAUUCCUAAGAGUUUUUGGCUGUGCUUGUUACCCUUAUCUUAGACCCUAUAAAAAACAUAAGCUAGAGUUUAGGACUGGUAGAUGCAUCUUCAUUGGAUACAGUCCUAACCAUAAGGGCUAUCAGUGUUUACACUCAUCAGGAAGGGUAUAUAUAUCCAAUCAUGUAGUGUUUAAUGAGAAUUCUUUCCCAUACCAGCCUGGUGUUGAUUUUUCCUCUGUGUCAAUGUCUUGUUCAAGUACAAACAAUCCAGAGUCAACUUCUUCUAUACAAGUUCUUUCAGCACCUCCCUUAACAACAGAGGUUCCUGCUCAAUCUCCACAUUCAUCACAAGAAGUUUCUGGUAAUUUCAACUCACCUUUAUCUCAGCAUUCUUUACCUUCUUAUUCUUCAAAUCAUAAUUCACCAGAUUCUUUACAUUCAAACAUUCCAGUUCCUUUUGUUCCUGCCCAUCAGCUACCCAAUUUUCAGCCACCUGGUCAUAGCAUGAUCACCAGGUCCAAAGCUGGAAUUUUUAAACCAAAAACAUACAUCACUGCACUUUUAGCCCAACCAUCUGAACCCAACUCAGUAAAUCAAGCACUGCAAGAUCCAAAAUGGUUUAAUGCUAUGCAGGAGGAGUUUAAAGCUCUUCAAGCCAAUCAAACUUGGGAUUUAGUUAUUCCUACAGCUGCUGUCAAAGUAGUAGGAAACAAAUGGAUUUUCAGAAUUAAAUACAACUCAGAUGGAUCAAUCUCAAGAUAUAAGGCAAGACUUGUUGCAAAGGGGUUUCAUCAAACAUAUGGGAUCGAUUACAGUGAAACUUUCAGCCCUGUUGUUAAGGCUUCAACAGUGAGAGUGAUAUUGAGUUUAGCUGUGAUGAACAACUGGAUAAUAAGGCAGGUUGAUGUUAAUAAUGCAUUUCUUAAUGGCAUUCUUGUUGAAGAUGUAUACAUGGCUCAACCAGAAGGCUUUGUGGAUCCAGAAAAGCCUCAUCAUGUGUGCAAAUUAAAGAAGGCUCUAUAUGGACUCAAGCAAGCUCCAAGGGCAUGGUUUGACAGGUUCAGAAGAGCUAUGACAUCUCAGUGGCAUUUUGAACAUUCAAAGUCAGAUUCCUCAUUAUUUUACAGAUGGGAUGCAGGUGAUAUUCUACUGGUCUUAGUAUAUGUAGAUGAUAUUAUCAUUACAGGCUCUAAUCAAAAUAGUGUGUUGAAAGUAAUCUCUGAUAUGCAAGCUACUUUUGCUCUUAAAGAUUUAGGAGAGCUUAGCUAUUUUCUUGGUAUAGAGGUUACUAAAAAUUCGACAGGCCUUCAAUUAUCUCAGAGCAAAUACAUAGUUGAUUUGCUGAACAGGCAUGAAAUGGUCACUUGCAGUCCAGUACCAACUCCCAUGGUCACUUCUCAUUCACUUGUUAAGAACUCAGGAGUUAUCAUUCCAAAUGCUUCUCAGUACAGGAGUGUUGUGGGGGCUCUGCAGUAUGUGACUUUGACCAGGCCAGAAUUAGCUUUUUCAGUUAAUAAGUUGAGUCAAUUUCUUUCAGCUCCAACAGAAGAACAUUGGCAAGCAUGUAAGAGGAUACUCAGAUAUUUGAAGGGAACAAUUCACUAUGGCUUACAACUUCAUUCAACUGGAAGUCAGCAUAUGCAAAUAAAUUGUUUCAGUGACUCUGAUUGGGCUUGUGACAGAGAUGAUCGAAAAUCAGUAGCAGGGUAUGCUGUGUUUCUUGGACCUAACCUUGUUUCAUGGUCUUCAAAGAAGCAACAUGUAGUCUCCAGGUCAAGCACAGAGUCAGAAUACAGAGCCUUAGCUCUGGCAACAACUGAAGUUAUGUGGGUAAAAGGGUUACUUACUGAGCUGAAGAUUAAAAUUGAUCACACACCCAUUAUGUGGUGUGACAAUCAGGGAGCAAUAUCUUUGGCUAUGAAUCCAGUGUAUCAUGCCAAAACAAAACACAUUGAGCUAGAUAUACACUUCAUUCGAGAAAAGGUCCAAGCUAAUCAAAUUGAAGUUAACUAUGUGCCUAGUGAAGAUCAAGCUGCAGACAUAUUCACAAAAGCUUUGACCUAUGGACAAUUCAGUUAUCUUAGAAGCAAGCUGAACAUAUUUCCUACACAGUUCAGCUUGAGGGGGGAUGUUAGCAUAUGUGAGUAACAGAGCAGGGGAUUCCAGCUCAAGAGCCGACGUGUCAAUAUUUGUUAUACAUGUUGCUUAACGUGUAACAAGCUGAUUUCAGUAGUUGAUAACAGAUUCUAGUAGCUUCAUUAAUUAGUUAGAAAGAUUCGUUUAAGCUCAUAUAUAAACCAACACUUGUAAUCUUUUUCAUCAACUUGAUUGAAUACAAAUUCAUUGAUAUUAGUAUAUUCUCUGUUAUUUUUCUUUCUCUUUCUAUCGUUUUCUUAUCUACCAAACACAUCAACAACAUUUCUAACAAACCAUGAGAAUACCGAGGUUACCAAGAGCGCCUUACUCUGCAUCCAAAGGCUUUUCCUAGGCGCAAAGUACGCGAGCUUUUUGCAGGCCUGAAAUCUCUUUCCAUGGGGUCCAGUAUUGUUUACAAAGGAAAUGCUUGUAAUGAUUUGAUUCCAGUUUGGCUGUGGUUAGGUUGUUUAUUUAUUUAUCAAUCAUUGGAGGAAUUUAUGAAUCAGGGGAACUCGUCUGUUGAAUUUUUUUAAGUACUGUGAAGAAUUAGUUGAUUUUUUACCAUAUUU